UACGGAGGGUGCAAGCAUUAAUCGGAGUUAUUGGGCGUAAAGGGCGCGUAGGCGGGAGUAUAAGUCAGACGUGAAAUCCCGGGGCUCAACCCCGGAACAGCGUUUGAAACUAUAUUUCUGGAGGGUAGACGGAGAAAGCGGAAUUCCACAAGUAGCGGUGAAAUGCGUAGAUAUGUGGAAGAACACCUGUGGCGAAGGCGGCUUUCUAGUUUACACCUGACGCUGAGGCGCGAAAGCAAGGGGAGCAAACAGG
rnacentral:rRNA from 1 species